UAUAUAUAUAUAUAUAUAUAUAUAUAUAUAUAUAGAGAGAGAGAGAGAGAGAGAGUAGGGCUAGAAUACUUGUAAAAGUAUCAUGGGGGUGAUACUUGUGUAUUUUUAGUCUUUGGAUGGAGAGAUGUGAGGUUGAGAUGAUGGUGGUAGGUGGUGAUAGGUGGUGGUAGGUGGAAUAGUGUUUAAUUCAAGGGCCAUUAAUAAUCAAAAAGUAGAUCCAAUGGCUUAAAACCUAAUAGCACCAUGAUGGUGAUACUUGUAAAAGUAUAUAUAGAGUUGAGCUACUCAACUCUAUAUAUACUUUUACAAGUAUCAUAGCUCAACUCUAUAUAUACUUUUACAAGUAUCACCAUCAUGGUGCUAUUAGGUUUUAAGCCAUUGGAUCUACUUUUUGAUUAUUAAUGGCCCUUGAAUUAAACACUAUUCCACCUACCACCACCUAUCACCACCUACCACCAUCAUCUCAACCUCACAUCUCUCCAUCCAAAGACUAAAAAUACACAAGUAUCACCCCCAUGAUACUUUUACAAGUAUUCUAGCCCUACUCUCUCUCUCUCUCUCUCUCUAUAUAUAUAUAUAUAUAU
rnacentral:lncRNA from 1 species